UCAACGCUAAAUCUCCAACAGCUCAGGUAGGGGAAGAAAAAGUAAUAAAUUAGAAAGCACAAUAAGAAUGAACAGUACAGGAAAAAAAAAAAAAACGCCUUCAGAGCGACAGUGAUUUUGAUGCUCUGGCUAAUGAGCAGAGCAGGGCGCAGGCGAGGACGCGUUCCAGUGGCUCUGCCUCGCGCCAGCAUCCUGGUGCCGGGCAUAAUUACCAGCUGAUGUGUUGGGAGCCUGCGGAGGAGCCCCCUGUUUCAUGGAGGACUACCAAGAGGGGCCGUUAUUGAAAAAAACUUCCUCUCUCCAAAACCUGGCCAAGGAGUGAGGACUUCACGGAGCAAGCAGGAGCCGGGCUUUCUCAACCACUCCCGAGGUAUUCACCCAAGAGAAAGGAAAACACGUCGGAUGAAAAUCCGUGUGCAAAUGUGCACAGCACUUUUAUUCAUACUAGCCCCAAACUGGAACCACUCAAAUAUCAAUGAAAUGGUUGAAUGAAGAAACAAAUUAUGAUAUCCAUGCACCAGACCACUCCUCAGCAAUGAAAACCAAAUGAAUGCAGACACCUGCCACAACACGGGUCAAUCUCAAAAGCAAUUAUGCUAAGGAAGCCAGCUGCAGAAAGUAACACACUGUACAACCCCCUCAACAUGACAUUCCAGAAAAGGCAAAAGGCAAAAGUGUGGGACAGAUGGCAUGUCAGCGCUCGCCUGGGUGGAGGGGUACGGAGGAUGCUCUGGGCAGGUGGGACUGCCCUGAGUCUUGCUUGAGUCAGGUGGGACUGCCCUGAGUCUUGCUUGUGGGGCGCUUAUGUCAUUGCACCUAUUUGUCAAACCUUAUUAAGUGAUGCCUUUAAAAAGUGUAAUUUUUCUUUUUUUGAGAUGGAGUCACGCUCUGUUGCCAGGCUGGAGUGCAGUGGCAUGAUCUUGCCUCACUGCAACCUCUGCCUCCUGGGUUCAAAUGAUUCUCCUGCCUCAGCCUCCCUAGUGGCUGGGACUAUAGGUGCACCCCACCAUGCCCAGCUAAUUUUUGUAUUUUUAGUAGAGAUGGGGUUUCACCAUGUUGGCCAGGAUGGACUUGAUCUCUUGACCUUGCGAUCCACCCGCCUCGGCCUCCGAAAGUGCUGGGAUUACAGAUGUGAGCCACCACGCCCGGCCAAAAGCGUGAUUUUUAUUAGAAGUAAAUUGUACCACAAUAAACUUGAAAUCACAUA